AGCAGCGUGGCUCAGUGGAUAGAGCACGGGCUUUGGAGUCGUAGGUCAUGGGUUCGAAUCCCCGCUCUGCCA
rfam:Ornithorhynchus anatinus chromosome X3, whole genome shotgun sequence.